GGCCGGAUGGCAGAGUGGUUAUGCAGAGGACUGCAAAUCCUCGUAUCCGAGUUCGAUUCUCGGUCCGGCCUCCA
rnacentral:tRNA from 1 species